GCCAUUCUGAAGGCAUGGCCUUGGGGAAGAGCCAGGCUGUGCUGAGCCUGGACUCAUUGAGUCAUGGCUUCUCCACACUAUUUUCCUCAUCCUCCCAUCAGUAGAAGCUGACUUGUCCUUCAUGCAAAUGACAUAAAAGAUUACUCAGCUUAAUUGCACACAGUGGGGUAUUAAAGGAGGCCUCUCUUUGGCCUACCAAGACAAGCCUUGAACCUCCUAAAAGGUAAGAAGCCUGUGGAUUGUCAAUGUUGUGACCUCACAGGACAGUUCAACCAGCACUGGAACCCGGGAGAAAUAGGUGCCUUUAAGAGUUUGGGGGGUCAGAAGGAUUGUGGUGGACUCUUUCCAGAGAGAAUAAUUUUUUUUUCAUCCAUGAGAGCAAAAUCUUUUGAGAGAGCACUGAAGAACAGAUGGGUAAACAAAGAUGAGAGACAGAGCCAUUCCAGGUGGAGUCGGGGGUAGAAAUUCUGAACAGACUCCAAGAGGCUAGAGCAUGUAUGUGUUUGAGAGACAGCCAGGUAUGGGCAGCCCUGAUGAGACCUGGGUUGGUAUAACAGACAGGGGCUACUGCUUUUUACUUUGUUCAACAAAAUCUUAUUAAGUACUCGUACCAUGCUAGGCAUUUUAAAGUAGCUUCUGGGGCCAAUGAAAUGGCUCAGUAGGUAAAGGCACUUGCUACCAAGCCUGAUGACCGGAGUUCAAGCCCAGUGAGCCACACCGUGGGGGAGAGAGCCAACUCCUACUUAUCAUGUUUUAAGUCAUUUCAUUCCUGUUGUCUUUGCUGGUUCAGUUUUGCAGGAAUCCAGUGUGCUCCUUGCCUCUCAUCUUCACAUUUUCAGGUCACAUCUCUUAAGUAUGGACCCUGCAAAGUGCCCCUCCAGUGGAGCAGAGACUCUGCAGCCCAGCCCUGGUAUCAUGAUCUGGAGACAGUCCCCUAUAACCACCUAGGGUCUCACUUAUAUAGGGGAGGCAAUGACAGUCUCUAACACAUAGGAUUUGGGUAAGCGCUGAGUGAGAUAAUGCAUGGAAUGGUGUCCAUUGCAUGUGCUGUGUGAAUGUCAGCUGUCAUUAUUGCUAUUUCAUUGUUCUCUUGGGAGGGCGGCAUUCGCCUCAACUUAUUCUCACCUGACUUCUGUCUUCAGGAAGGCCUUGUGAUUCCUUCUUGUUUUCUGGUGCUGUCUCAGCUUAAUUGUUCCUAGGAAAUGUCUUGUCUGUCAUUCUCAGGCUCUGAGGAGGCACAUGCCUGCCCUUGGCCUCCAGCCCCGAUGUAGCUCUGCACCUCCCUCGGGGUUGUUUUCUCCCUGUGCGCAUGUGUGUUAUUAUCUGUAACAGAUACACAGAGGAAUAGAGUGUCACAUGCAUCAGCUCACCCAGCAGCCUGGCCCAGGGCAGGACUUGCCACCAGGUCUGAGUCACCCAAUAUCGCUGUGCCACAGGCGGGACUAGGAGUCCUCGGCUUCCUAGACUGGCUUGAGGCUCCCUUAAUGAGUGUAAUGGGUCCUCUGUUUCCUUUGUCAAAAGGAAUGUUAAUUAUUUUCAGCAGUCUAAUUAUAUGGCUAAUGAGAGACUGACUGAGAUAACAUUGCCUUUAAUUACUCUUGCCUAACUGCUGUUUGGAGCCAUAAUUUGAGCGUGUUGCAAGGCUGGGUGCCUGCUCAGUAGAUGGAGCUGUCCAGCAAGAAGCCGAGGGAGGGGCCAGGAUCGCUGAACUCAUGGGUCGUCAUGAAGGUGCCUGAGGUGGCUGCUGUCUGCUUUGCCAAGUGGCUGGCAGCCUUUCCUGGGUGCCAUCGCUUAAAUGAAAUGGGCCAGAUGGAAUCAGGCGGAGAGCAAGCAGGGAAUUCAUAGUUCCACCAGUGAGCCGUCGCUCUUCCAUCCAUACCCUUCACCCCAGUAUACCUGCCCUUCAGGCUGCUUUUGGCCAAAGUUCCUCAUUCUUGGAGAACACAUACUUCAAGUGCUGUCUAGAACAUGGGAAUACAGAGAUAAGGAGCCUGUGGUCCAGAAAGCUUCCUUAAAUAAAUUUGCAUUAUACCCAGGAUAAAUAUCGCAUGUUUGUCUUCUGACCUCUACCAAUGUCACAGUACUGUGGCCUUCCUGUGGUUAUGGUAUGGUGCCUUUCAACCUUGAUUGGCAGAUCCUGGGCCUAUAGGUAAUGUCCAGUAGCUCAUAAGGAACUGUUGUCAACUUGAAGCGGCUCAUUGCUAUAGGAAAAUCAAGUCAUCUUAGACUCUCCCCCUUAUAUCUCUAUCUUUCUUUUUUCUUUUUUUUCUAGAUUUAUUUAUUUAUUAUAUGUAAGUACACUGUAGCUGUCUUCAGACACACCAGAAGAGGGCGUCAGAUCUCGUUACGGAUGGUUGUGAGCCACCAUGUGGUUGCUGGGAUUUGAACUCUGGACCUUUGGAAGAGCAGUCGGGUGCUCUUACCCACUGAGCCAUCUCACCAGCCCCCUAUCUCUAUCUUUCAUGUGGGGUAUGGGAUGGGUAGGUACUAGUAGAGACCUUGGCCUCCAAAUUUUUAGGUGUGGACUUAAGCAAGUUUCUUAACCUCUUUGAGCUUCAUCUUCCUAAAUAAGUUGGUUGGUCUGUGUGCAUCUCAUAGACUUGUGUGGAGUCAGAUGAAUUAGCCUACUGGAAGCUGUCUAGCACAGAAAAAAAAUCAAGAAAUGAUUUUCAACCUUCAAAGCAUUACUGAUAGUCUGAGCUAUAGCAUGAACCAAAGGCCGACCUUAUUCCUCAAUAACCACAACUGUCUCCUGGUCACUUGCGUAGAAGUCACUUUACAUACCAUAGAUAGUAACUUCUAUGAAAGGUUACCCUCCCUUCAUUUCAAAUGCUAGCCUUGGCCACCGUGACCUCUUUCUGAUUUGGUGAGAGAACACAGAUACCUGCUCUGAAGGCACAAGAUACCUGGGAUCAACAGAAUGGAACUCAGGGUUAGCAAAUCUAGAGUAGUACUAGUCAAUGGCAUGUCCUGUGACAGCAGAAAUAUUCCAUAUCUGCUAUCCAAUAUGGCAGACAAGGGCAAUAUUUAGCUUCAAGUACUUGCAAUUCGGGUAGUUUACCUUAGAGAUAAGUUUUCAAUUUCAUUCACUUUUACUUUUUGGUUUCUCGAGACAGGGUUUCUCUGUAUAGCCCUGGCUGUCCUGGAACUCACUCUGUAGACCAGGCUGUCCUCGAACUCAGAAAUCCACCUGCCUCUGAGUUCCAAGUGCUGGAUUAAAGGCGUGCCCCACCACCACCCAGCUCACUUUUAUCUAUUAACACUUAAAUAAUCUCACAUGUCCAGCGGCUACCCAAUUACAUGGUAUAUUUUUGGAAUUUUGAGAAAAAAAGAAUUUGUGCACUUCCUGUUCUUGGCAUGUUCUUUAUUCCUGGUCCACAUGAGUGCUGUUUACAGGAGAUGGGCAAGAUUUGCUAGGUUGCUGGCAAAGGGAAGGUAAAUUUUCCUUUCUACCAAUUAAGGUUUGGACAAUGACCAGGAGGGAGGCUUACAUUAGCCAUACUGUUUAACCUGACUUACCAAUUUGAGGUCUGAUUUCUCCCCAUGUUUCCCUUUCUGUCUGCAAGGAUCAGAGCCAUUGUUGUUGGACCUGGAUAGAUGGCUAUGUGGAUGUGUGAUCCUCGUGCCUGUCUUAGGAGUUCCUUGAUUGACAGUGAUAGAAAUCCCAUCAUAUUAGCCUGGAUAAAAAGGAAUGUUCAAUAGCUAUGAUCCCAGCACUCAGGAGGCAAAAGUAAGUGGAUCUCUGAGUUUGAGGACAGUCUGGUCUACAAAACAUGUUCCAGCACAGCUAGGGCUACACAGAGAAACACGG
rnacentral:lncRNA from 1 species